rnacentral:lncRNA from 1 species
AAACAUUGUCCAAUAAAAAAAAUAGAAAAGAAACCCAAAAUAUUUAGAAUUAAUAAUAGAAUUCAACAAACGGAGCAAACAGUCUAAACACAGGGAAUAUUGUUUGAGUUUAAAAGUCAUGACGGGGAUUUGAGGAGGAAUGGACAUCCAAAGUUCAGACAGCCGACGGAAAGACAGCCAUCAUUCAGACAGCCGACAGAAAGACAGCCAUCAUUCAGACAGCCGACAGAAAGACAGCAGUCAUUACGGUUGAAAAAAAAUAACUGGACCUGAGCGUGUCCAAAAUGGCACCCUAUAUAGUCUACCACCUAUAGGCCCAAGUCAAGACAAAAGGAGCUCACUAUAUAGGAAAUAGGGUGCCAUUACAGACAGUCAUGUUCUCAGAGCAUGCCUGCCUAACUGUUGUUGGAAACUACUAGUAAUCUAACAGCUUCAAAUGGCAUCUCAAAUACAAACAGUAAUCAUCUCAAAUACAAACAGUAAUCAUCUCAAAUACAAACAGUAAUCAUCUCAAAUACAAACAGUAAUCAUCUCAAAUACAAACAGUAAUCAUCUCAAAUACAAACAGUAAGAAUCUCAAAUACAAACAGUUGGGGAGAGAAGAGUUACUGUAAUCAUCUCAAAUACAAACAGUUGGUGAGAGAAGAGUUACUGUAAUCAUCUCAAAUACAAACAGUUGGUGAGAGAAGAGUUACUGUAAUCAUCUCAAAUACAAACAGUUGGGGAGAGAAGAGUUACUGUAAUCAUCUCAAAUACAAACAGUUGGGGAGAGAUGACCGUAAUGAUCUCAAAGUGACAAGUAGAGGCUACUAAGAAUGCACAUAGAUUUCAUUUCUCUACAUAAACUGCUUCCAACGUCGUUUUAAAGAAUUUGGGAGUACGUCCAACUGGCCUCACAACCUCAGACCACGUGCAUGGCGUUGUGUGCGUAAGCGGUUUUCUGAUGUCAAUGUUGUGAACAGUGUCCCAUGGUGGCGGUGGGCUUAAACUACAUACAACAUUUUAUAUUAUUGAUGGCAAUUUGAAUGCACAGAAAUACCGUAACGAUAUCCCGAGGCGCAUGAAAUACCGUAACGAUAUCCCGAGGCCCAUGAAAUACCCUAACGAUAUCCCGAGGCCCAUGAAAUACCCUAACCCAUAUCCCGAGGCCCAUGAAAUACCGUAACGAUAUCCCGAGGCCCAUGAAAUACCCUAACGAUAUCCCGAGGCCCAUGAAAUACCGUAACGAUAUCCCGAGGCCCAUUUUCUUUUAAAGGUAUCUGUGACCAACAGAUGCAUAUCUGUAUUGUCAGUCAUGUGAAUUUAUUUAAACUGACUGAUUUCCACAUAUGAACUGUAACUCAGUAAAAUCGUUGAAAUUGUUGUUUAUAUUUUUUGUUUAGUAUAUAAAUCAUCUUUAAUUUGUACAGACGCAUACAACUCCCUACAGUGCACUACUUUUGACCAAAGCCACUGGUCAAAAGUAGUGCACCAUAUAGGGAAUAGGGUGCUAUGUCAGACACACAGUAGUUGGUGUGGUUCAUAGAUUAGUAGUGAUUGGUUCCAGUGUUGUCAUGACGAAGAGGGAAACCAUAAUGAUUAUGUGGGAGUCCAACAAACUUGUUUUUGGUAUUUUAUUAGGAUCCCCAUUAGCUGUUGUUAUAGCAGCAGCUACUCUUCCUGGGGUCCACACAAAACAUGACAUAAUACAGAACAUGAAUAGACAAGAACAGCUCAAGGACUGAACUACAUCAAUAUAAAAAAAAGGGUAAAUACAUUAGUACAUUUGUUUAUAUCCCACAUUCCUCCAGCCUUCAUCUCUCUAUAGAGUUCACUAUGACAUGUCACCAUAAGACAGUAUUCUAUCAUAGUAUGGAUAUAAUGAGAGUCCAAACCAGUUUUCUCUUCCUGAAGAAGUGACGAACAGAAUGUGUUCCAAAUGGAGCCAACCCAACCAACCAACCUACCACCCAACACACCAACCCAACCACCCACCCAACCAACCAACCAACCUACCAACACACCAACCCUCCCAC